rnacentral:tRNA from 1 species
CGUAGCGCAGAGGUUAGCAUGUUUGCCUAUGACGCAAAAUACCUGGGUUCGAAUCCUUGCG